ensembl:snoRNA
UAGACUACAUAGUAUUCAGUUAUACUAUAGCUGUUGUUUUCAAAUAGAAGCCUAAAGAACUGUCUUCCUAUGGUCUGUUGGCUGUUCUGGAAUCUCAGCAGAGAAUGGCUGUUUCAUUUGGAAGAAAUAACC